rnacentral:misc_RNA from 1 species
GAUGAAGAACGUAGCGAAAUGCGAUACGUAAUGUGAAUUGCAGAAUUCAGUGAAUCAUCGAAUCUUUGAACGCACAUUGCGCCUGCCAGAACUCUGGCAGGCAUGCCUGUUCGUGCGUCAUUUCAACCAUCAAGCCCUAGGCUUGCGUUGGAGCCCUGCGGCUGCCGCAGGCCCCUAAAAGCAGUGGCGGGCUCGCUAUCACACCGAGUGCAGUAGAUUACUCUUCGCUCAGGGCGUGUGGCGGGUUCCAGCCGUGAAACCCCCUACUUCUCAAGGUUGACCUCGGAUCAGGUAGGAAUACCCGCUGAACUUAAGCAUAUCAAUAAGCGGAGGA